ensembl:lncRNA
AUGGCGGGCUCAAGCCAUCAGCGCAAACGCCACCCCGGUGGCAUCAGGGGGCGCCGUAGAGCCCCUGUGCCACGCCCGGGUCUCAGCCUCUGCAGCCUCCUAAUGGCCACAGAUUCUAAGGUGUGUGCAAAUUUUCAAGAGUUUUUGAGCAUGUUAAGGGCCCCAAAAGCCCCCCACAACUUUGACGAAAAAAAUAAGAAUACUAAACCCUAAAUAGCCAACUUCCUGUUGGGCGGAGCCUAUGACAUGCAGUACGAAAGUUGUUUGGCUUGAUGAGAUCUAUAUGUGUACCGAGUUUCAUACGUCUACGUGCAAGUAUGUAUGAUAUAUGGCCCUCCAUAUUCCAGGGGGCGCUGUAGAGCCCCUGUGCCACGCCCGUGUAUCAGUCUCUGCCCGGCCCUAAUGGCCGCAGGUUCCAAUGUGUGUGCCAAUUUUCAAGAGUUUUCGAGUAUGUUAAGGGCCCCAAAAGCCCCCGAGACGUUGGAAAAAAAAAUAAUAAUAAUAAUAAAAUAAAAUAAUCCUAAGGAAAACAAUAGGGCUCUCGCCCUCCAGGCUUGAGCCCUAAUAAUAAUAAAUAUAGCUGCAAGCAGCGAUGGCGGGCCCGAGCCGUCAGCGCAAACGCCACCCCGGUGGCAUCAGGAAAACUGUGCCCAGCGGGCACAUACACAGUAACCCUCUAGCACAGGGGUGUCCAACCCUGUUAAUGGCGAUCAACUGUCCUGCAAAGUUUAGCUCCAACCCUAAUCAAACACACCUGAAGCAACUAAUUAAGGUCUUCAGGAUCGCUUGAAAAUUAAAGGUAGGUGUAACUGAUUAGAGUUGGAGCUGAACUUUUGCAGGACAGUCGAUCACCAGGAACAGGAUUGGGCACACCUGAUUUAGCAGUUUGGAUUUAAGGGAUACAGCAAUGAAAGGGUUAAUCCAAACCAUCAAAAGACACACACACACAACAUAAUAUAUAAAACUUGAGUAACACUUCCAAUAAGGUUUCAGUUAUUAACAUUAAUUAUAUUAAAUUACAUUAACAACAACUGUAUGACAUUUAUCAAUGUGAGUCUCUUUCUCUCUGUCUUUCUCACACACUCACACACACACACACACACAGACACAAAGAACUAUAUAUAUAUAUAUAUAUAUUCUAAAACAUAUAUAUUAAUAAGGAUUUAGUUUUUAACAUUAUAUAAGUUAACAUGUACAUCAUUUAUAUAGCAUUUAUGAAUCUUAGUUAUUAUUAUGUUCAAAAUGGAUUACUACAUUAUUAAUUAAAAUGUAUAGUUAAUGUACAUCAGUUACUGUACCAUGAAUUAACAUAUACAUUUUUUUACUAACACAAAUGCAGUAAAAAUAUGUUGUUCAUACUUAGCUUGUACUAAUGUUAAAUAUUACAUUAUUUAACUAUAUUAU